AACUCACACGGAUCACUCAGCCUCCAUAAUUUCUCUUACAAAAGGACAUGUAGCUCACUCCCUAAACAAACAAAAAACCCCUAGCAAACCCCUACACAAAUUCCCUUCACACAUCACUCAAAGCUCAUCCUCAUAAGGUUUUUGAGAGCUUUAUCUUAAAGAUUUAAAAAUAUGAGUAAUAGCCUCACAUGCAUUAGACAACAAAAGAAGUAGAGGGAGAAGAAGAAGUUCAGACGAGCAGAGAAAGCAGACGAAAGAAGAAGAGAAUAUUAGAAGUAUUAUGUAGAUGAGGUAGUGGUGGUUCGCCAUAAUACUUGCUAGAGUUCUGGAAACUCCGACGAGGAUCUCUUACUGUGGAAACUACUAUGUCAACUCUCAACUCAAUGGAAUGGAAACUCUCAUUCUCCUGAGUGUCUACAUUAUUCCCACUAAAUCCCCCACUUAACUAGAUUGUGCUGCUAUUUGUCUAGAUAAUUAACCAAAUUGAAUUUCUAAAAUUUUUAUGGAAGUUUAAAUGUUCUUACUCAUGGUGUCAUGACUCUUGGACAUUGCUUCUUGGGUCUUAGACAUUGCUUCAUGAUUUCUUCCUACUUGUUCAAAACUUGCUUGAGUGACCUUUAUAAAUUGAGCUAGAGCCUUUUCAGGUU